CCCACCCGACCCAAAAGCCCAGCCGGCUUCACCUCUCAAUAGAAUCAAAAGCAGUAAAGUUCAGAGCUGGGUGGUCAUAUAUGAAUCACUUAACCUUUCUUUCUUUUUUCCUUAAAAUAGAGAUGGGGUCUGCUAUGCUGCCCUGGCUGGUUUUAAACUCCUGGGCUCAAGUGAUCCUCCCACCUCGGCCUCCCAAAGUGCUCAGAUUACAGGCCUGAGCCACCGCUCCCGGCCUGAAUCAGUUAACCUUUCUGGGCAUUCAUAUCAUUGACUAUAAAAUGGGGGUAGUGUUAGUUUAUGCUUCCCAGAUUGCAGAUGAGAAUCUAAAUAUCUGCCCACAACCCCCAAUGGGAGGUACAGGAGCCAACCAAGCAAGCCAUGGUCAGGAUCUGGUUCCUGGAGGCUGGAAUCCGGGGAAGCCAGAGAGGAGAGAGCCAGAAGGUGAGUGAGUAUCCAUAUUCUUCAACAGCACAGUCCAGUGUUAAGACAGGGCAUGAGGACCAGCUCCACUGGAAACACCAGCCAGCGUCUUAACCGGGGAGGAAGGAAGGUGUGUGCUGGGCAAGUGGGGCAUGUGACAAAGUGGAACUGAAGUGGCCGUCGCUUGCCUUUAGGCCAGCAGGUUCCUCAGCAGCCUUUGCUCAUAGGCUGGCUUAACUAUGAUCCUGCUGUGGGAAGAUAAAAAAACUGACCGAAGGAGAUAGGCUGAGUAAUGGCUCCCUCAAGAUGUCCAUAUUUCAUCCCUGGAACCUGUGAAUACAUUUCUUUAUGUGGCAAAAGGGACUUUGUGGCUGUGAUUAAACUAAGAACCUUGAAAUGAGGAGAUUCUCCGGGAUCGUCCAGAUGCAUCAAAUGUAACAAGAAGGAGUCAGAGUCAGGCUGGAAGCCGCUAUGCUGCUGGCUUUGAAGGCAGAUGAAGGGGCCAAGGAAUUAGGGUGGUCUCUAGAAUCUGGAAAAGGCAAUGAAAUUGAUUCUCCCCUAGAGCUUUCAGAAGGAAUGCAGCCUUGCCCACACCUUCAUUUUAGACCAGUGAAACUGAUUUUAGACUUCUGACUGCCAGAACUGUAAGAUAAUAAAUGUAUAUUGUUUGAAGCUACUAGGUUUGUGGUCAUUUGUUACAUCAGCAACAG
rnacentral:lncRNA from 1 species